rnacentral:rRNA from 1 species
UACGAAGGUCCCAAGCGUUGUUCGGAAUUACUGGGCGUAAAGGGAGCGUAGGCGGCGGGGUAAGUCAGAUGUGAAAUACCGGGGCUCAACUCCGGGACGGCAUCCGAUACUGCCUUGCUAGAGUAGUGGAGGGGCGACUGGAAUUCUCGGUGUAGCAGUGAAAUGCGUAGAGAUCGAGAGGAACACUAGUGGCGAAGGCGAGUCGCUGGACACUAACUGACGCUGAGGCUCGAAGGCUAGGGGAGCGAAAGGG